rnacentral:rRNA from 1 species
UCAAGCUACUAAGGGCAUACGGUGGAUGCCUAGGCGCCAAGAGCCGAAGAAGGACGCGGUAAGCUGCGAAAAGCCACGGGGAACUGCAAGCAAGUAUUGAUCCGUGGAUAUCCGAAUGGGGAAACCCGGCCAUCGUCAUGGAUGGUCACCCGCAAGGGAGGGAACCUGGGGAACUGAAACAUCUAAGUACCCGGAGGAAGAGAAAUCAAACGAGAUGCCCACAGUAGCGGCGAGCGAAGAGGGCAGAGCCCAAACCGAGAAGCUCCGGCUUUUCGGGGUUGAGGACCGGCAGAAUCGAAGUCAGGCCUAGUUGAAUUACCUGGAAAGGUAAGCGAGAGAGGGUAAAAGCCCCGUAGACGAAAGGCAGAGCAGAGAGGCCGAGAUCCAGAGUACCACGAAGCACGAGGAAUUUUGUGGGAAGCAGGGGGGACCACCCUCCAAGGCUAAAAACUACUUGGCGACCGAUAGCGCAUAGUACCGUGAGGGAAAGGUGAAAAGAACCCCGGGAGGGGAGUGAAAUAGUACCUGAAACCGUAUGUCUACAAGCAGUCGAAGCGAAAGCGACGGCGUGCCUAUUGAAGAAUGAACCAACGAGUUAUCUGCACUAGCGAGGUUAAGUGGAAGACACGGAGCCGCAGCGAAAGCGAGUCUUAAGAGGGCGCUAGUUAGUGUAGGUAGACCCGAAACCGCAGUGAUCUACCCAUGUCCAGGUUGAAGCGCAGGUAAAAUUGCGUGGAGGACCGAACCGGUGAGCGUUGAAAAGCUUUCGGAUGAGAUGUGGGUAGGGGUGAAAUUCCAAUCGAACGCGGAGAUAGCUGGUUCUCCCCGAAAUAGCUUUAGGGCUAGCCUGAGGUAGUAAGUAUAGGCGGUAGAGCACUGAUCGGGCUAGGGGCCGUAAAGGUUACCGAACCCUGUCAAACUCCGAAUGGAUAUACUGUAGAGCCUUGGAGUCAGACUACGAGUGAUAAGAUCCGUGGUCAAAAGGGAAACAGCCCAGACCACCAGCUAAGGUCCCCAAUGUCGUACUAAGUGGAAAAGGAUGUGGGGUUUCAUAAACAACCAGGAUGUUGGCUCAGAAGCAGCCACCAUUUAAAGAGUGCGUAAUAGCUCACUGGUCGAGAGACCCUGCGCCGAAGAUUCCCGGGGCUAAAGUACGAAACCGAAGCUGUGGCUGUAUACGUAAAGUAUACGGGGUAGGGGAGCGUUCCCAUAGGGUAGAAGUCGAACUGGAAGGUUCGGUGGACUUGUGGGAAGUGAGAAUGUUGGUAUGAGUAGCGAAAAGAAAGGUGAGAAUCCUUUCCACCGAAAGCAUAAGGAUUCCUGAGCAACGAUCGUCGUCUCAGGGUAAGUCGGGACCUAAUCCGAGGCAGAGAGCGUAGGAGAUGGACAACUGGUUGAUAUUCCAGUACCGGUAGUAAUUGUUUGAGCAAUGGAGUGACACAGAAGGGCAGGCAAGCAUGCGAAUGGAAGAGCAUGUGUAAGCGUGUAGGGUGGUGCAUAGGCAAAUCCGUGCACUGAAAGCCUGAGGCGUGAUGCGGAGUGAGCAGAGAUGCGAGCGAAGUUGUUGACCCCACACUGUCGAGAAAAGCUUCUAGUGAGAGAGCUACCGCCCGUACCGUAAACCGACACAGGUAUGCGGGGAGAGAAUCCUAAGGUGCGCGGGAGAACCCUCGUUAAGGAACUCGGCAAAAUGUACCCGUAACUUCGGGAUAAGGGUAGCCACUGUUGUGAAGUCCCAUGCGGAUGGAGCAUAGAGUGGUCGCAGAGAAGAGGCCCAAGCGACUGUUUACCAUAAACACAGGUGCCUGCUAAAGCGAAAGCUGACGUAUAGGUGCUGACACCUGCCCAGUGCCGGAAGGUUAAGGAAGGAUGUUCGGAUUAGUCCAAAGCAUUCGACUGAAGCCCCGGUGAACGGCGGCCGUAACUAUAACGGUCCUAAGGUAGCGAAAUUCCUUGUCGGGUAAGUUCCGACCCGCACGAAAGGUGUAACGAUUUGGGCACUGUCUCAACGAGGGACCCGGUGAAAUUGAAAUACCUGUGAAGAUGCAGGUUACCCGCGACUGGACAGAAAGACCCCAUGGAGCUUUACUGUAACCUGACAUUGGGUUUUGAUACAUUACGUACAGGAUAGGUGGGAGGCUUGGAAAGUUGGACGCUAGUCUGACUGGAGCCGACGUUGGGAUACCACCCUUGAUGUAUUGAAAUUCUAACCGCGAGAGUAACGAAAUCCGGGACAGUGUCAGGCGGGCAGUUUGACUGGGGCGGUCGCCUCCGAAAGAG